AAAAGAUAUUGUUUAAGAUAAUUUACAUUGAUGUUUUGCAUUUUUGUUUGUAAGAAUACAGGUAUUUUAUUUACAUAUUGUUUAAUUAUUUCAAUGUGUUAAAUGAAAAGUAAUUUUCUUUUCUGUUUGUCUAUUGCAGGUUAGAGUACAUUUUGAACAGCCAUUUCCUGGAUAUACUCUGAAGACAGUGAUGUGCAAGUUCAAGGUUUGACUGUUCAGAAUUACUUUAAUGAUAAAGAAUGGGUGAAAAAAUUCUCACAUCAUGCUGCAUAACAGUACAUUUCAGCUGUAACAAAACAAAUUAUCUGAUGAAAGCUUCAACCACAAGAAUCUAAGGAAAGGAUGUCAAGUCCAAAGAGAAGAUUAUUAAUGAACAAUGAUAGAUUGAAUUAGCAACUGUAAAUGGCAUACCGGUACAUGCCAUAUAACAAUGAUUGCUAAAUUCAUGAAGACUAGCUGGGGUGAUGCAGUACUUUUCUACUCUUAUGAACCAUAUCUAAACAUCAUUUGAGGAUCCCUUUCUCAGAAAAAAAGAAUUUGCAUAUUCAAAGACUCUAUAGUUUAUCUGUAUGUUGUUUAACAUUCUUCUUGAGAAUUUUUCACUCAUAUGGGGAUGCCAACAUUUGCCAAUGGAGAGCUGCAAAUUUUGUCCUUUACUUGGCACACAUGGCUAAUUGAGCAAUGAGGGAUCUUUUUGGUGCUAGCACCUACUGCAAAACAGGACGUUUGUAUAUACAGUCUCAUUUCUAUGUCCAACUGUGGGAUUUCGAACCAGCAAUUUAAGGAUCAACUCCUUACCCAUGACUCUCGAGCAGACGCUCUUGCCAUUGUGCCAUGCAGGUGACUUCAUAGGUUAGAAAAUAAUAAGAUAAGAUUUAUAACUUAAAACUGAUGUUCUUAAUUCAAUCACAGUAUAGAAAAUGUUUGUAAAAAAGGAGGUAAUAGCUACAUGUAGCUCUCACUGGUAUUGCAUGCUUGAACUAUAUGAAUUACAUAUUGUAAUUACACAUGUAUUUUAAGCCAGAUCAGUAAAGAAAGAAACACUUGAAUAUAUUUACUCUGAAUUUUAUUAUAAGGUUGAUUAUCUUUAAAAAAUGGAACUUUAAUUUUUUUUGAGUAGGAAAAAAAAGUAUUUAGAAUGUACAUGUGCACUUAAUUUUGUUUAUUAAAAAUAGUCAAAAUUUGGAGAUUUUGUGAAGGGUAUCUAAAUAUAGAUUUAUAAAUUUUUACUUCAUUUUUAAACAGCAUAAUCUUUAUUAUAACAUAUGCCUGUAAUAUACAACUUAUAUGUUUUUAAACAUUCCAUUGUCUGUCUACAUGUAGUGCUUAGUGAAUUUCUUGUAAAUACAAACAUGAUUGCAUGCUGUUAGUUUACUUUGUCUUUUUUACAAUAUGAGUCAUGAUAUAUAAUGGUGUGCAUAUCAGUUUAAAUUAUUUUUGUUGAAUUCAGUUAACAGAAAAAAAUUAAUAACUGAAUAUAAAUAUGCAGAUAGAUACCUCCCAGAAAUAUUUGCAUGUACUAGCAGCUGCAGAUAUGUAGCUUAUGUGAAAUCAGGUAUACUUGAAAAUCAAUUUACCUGUAUUUAUUAAACAGAAAUUUAGUGAACACAUUCAUAUACCUAUGCAGUAUUUCAUGCUGAAAAUACACUGUGUGUUAAUGUUUUACUUAUUCAACAUAAGAAUUGACCAGAAAUGAA